UUCCCCGCCUUCCCCUCCGCGCAGACGCGGAGGAGCGGCGGCCGGAGCCGCAGGUGCCCUCAGAGCCCCGCGACUUCCCGGGGAGGCCGAGGCCGGCGGCGCGGGACAGGAAGCCUUCCAGAAGUCUGCUGGACUAAUUGAUAACCAUGGUAUUAACAGGAGUACUCAAAGAAAACAAGGCCAUUGCAGAGAAGUUCAUAAACUAUUUGAGUUGGUAUUCACCAGUGGAUAUCCUGGAAAUGGAAGGGAUUUUGAAGAGAGAAUGGAUGAAACGGAUAAAAUGACAGUAAGAAACCACUAGGACCAGAUGGAAAUUUUUAACAGAUCACCGUGAAGAGGGGAUGCUGGAUGAAUGUGCAGGCAUGAAUCUGAUCUCAAAGCCUGAAAACACCCUGCUUGCUAGCGAACUCUUUAGCAGACACAUCCCAGCCAAGGGAAGAAGACACAUCCGCAUGGCAGCUCAUGUGCAGGCGUGACAGCACAUAAAACCCCAAAUGUUCCGUGGCCCACCCAGCCCUAGACGUUUGGCUAGAGGACAGCGUGCCCAGGUGAGCCUCACAGUGCCUUAAACUGCCAGAGGGGCUUAGGGAUACAGCGUCCCAGUGCGCAGGAGGGCGGGAGCUGACGGUGUCUGGAACUGUCCAGGAGAGGUGCGGUGCCCGUGCAGCCCUUGUACAGGCAUGUCCUUAGAGCCAAGUACAAUUCUGGACUCUGAGUUAUUGGGGGGGGAGUCUGUUUUGAGCCGGACAGACAUGCUUAACAGUUGUGAGUUUCUGCGCCUCAUUUGCCAGCACCCGAAGCGCUCAGCUGGUAGUGCUGUACGCCUGUGCCUGCCCUACCUGCACGCCCUGGCUGCGCUGUAUCUCCGUGCUGGGAAGGGGUCUGGCCAAGGAUCACCUUCUGCUCCCUGUAGUACGAGAAGGAAGUCGGGGCCCAUGAGCCAAGAGGGGUCUGCAGCACGCUUUCACCGAGUUCCUCAUGUAGAUGAUUGGACCAGCUGUCCAGGGCUUGGCAAUUUGCUCACAAGGGUCAAAGCUUCACCACCCUUAAUCAUCAAACCUGUCUGAUCCUUCCUUGGCCGGAGAGCACCUCUCCCUGCCCCUCUCCCACGCGCCUCAAACAAGCUUUACUGACAGGCCUAAGAAAUCAGACGUGGUGGCUGAGGGUGGCAUGGGUUUCCAUGUUUGCAUCCUUUCAUGAGAAAAAGGAGGUCAUGGAUGGGCUGGGGUCUACCCCUGCUGACAGACGCUUUCCCGUGGAGUUGGGAAGGGGAGAGAUGGGAAGUGCCUCUCGCUUUUAUCAUAUCUUACAGUGUCCUCGUGCGGGGGAAGACAUCCCACCUCCUGGCUUCAUUCCCUGCCAUCCCGCACCUCCCAGCACGGAGCCUGACCACAGCCAGGCACCGGCAGCCCCGUGCUUUGGCCGUGCCGGUGUUCCCGACGCCAAACCGCAGCGGCCUCCAGGCCAUCAGGGUUGAGAGGCGGCAGGUUUUGCUCUGUUCGCUGCCUUCCUUUGCCUGGUGAGCGUAGGUCACUGGCCGCGUCCCGGUCCAGGCCGAGUACCAAGUCAAUUAAAUGUGGAAUGGGCAAAAGGCCACGUUAAAUGAAACAAAUAAAGCACGUCAUCUGAAACA